rnacentral:rRNA from 1 species
CCUACGGGAGGCAGCAGUGGGGAAUAUUGGACAAUGGGGGCAACCCUGAUCCAGCCAUGCCGCGUGUGUGAAGAUGGCCCUCGGGUUGUAAAGCACUUUCAGUGAGGAAGAACGCCUGGUGGUUAAUACCCAUCAGGAAAGACAUCACUCACAGAAGAAGCACCGGCUAACUCCGUGCCAGCAGCCGCGGUAAUACGGAGGGUGCGAGCGUUAAUCGGAAUUACUGGGCGUAAAGCGCGCGUAGGUGGCUUGAUAAGCCGGUUGUGAAAGCCCCGGGCUCAACCUGGGAACGGCAUCCGGAACUGUCAAGCUAGAGUGCAGGAGAGGAAGGUAGAAUUCCCGGUGUAGCGGUGAAAUGCGUAGAGAUCGGGAGGAAUACCAGUGGCGAAGGCGGCCUUCUGGACUGACACUGACACUGAGGUGCGAAAGCGUGGGUAGCAAACAGGAUUAGAUACCCUUGUAGUC